AUAUCAGGCGUUGGAACAGGUGCCUGCCUAGCAGGGUAAUAGGGAAGCCGGUGAAAAUCCGGCGCGGUCCCGCCACUGUGAGGGGAAGCAGUCUUAAACUUGGCCACUGGGGAAACCCGGGAAGGCUUAAGGCCGCGACGAACCCGAGCCAGGAAACCUGCCUGUUCCCAUCAAAGAUC
rnacentral:ncRNA from 2 species